rnacentral:rRNA from 1 species
ACGACUCUUCAAGGUGCUGCAUGGUUGUCGUCAGCUCGUGCCGUGAGGUGUCGGGUUAAGUCCCAUAACGAGCGCAACCCUUACUGUAGUUGCCAGCGGGUCAAGCCGGGAACUCUAACGGGGACUGCCACCGUAAGGUGAGAGGAAGGUGGGGAUGACGUCAAAUCAGCACGGCCCUUAUGUCCAGGGCUACACACGUGUUACAAUGGUCGGUACAAAGGGCAGCUACACCGCGAGGUGAUGCUAAUCUCUAAAGCCGGUCUCAGUUCGGAUCGAAGUCUGCAACCCGACUUCGUGAAGUUGGAUUCGCUAGUAAUCGCGCAUCAGCCAUGGCGCGGUGAAUACGUUCCCGGGCCCU